CCUACGGGGGGCAGCAGUGAGGAAUAUUGGUCAAUGGGCGCUAGCCUGAACCAGCCAAGUAGCGUGAAGGAUGACUGCCCUAUGGGUUGUAAACUUCUUUUAUAAGGGAAUAAAGUGCAGCACGUGUACUGCUUUGCAUGUACCUUAUGAAUAAGGAUCGGCUAACUCCGUGCCAGCAGCCGCGGUAAUACGGAGGAUCCGAGCGUUAUCCGGAUUUAUUGGGUUUAAAGGGAGCGUAGGCGGGUUGUUAAGUCAGUUGUGAAAGUUUGCGGCUCAACCGUAAAAGUGCAUUUGAUACUGGCAGCCUUGAGUACAGUAGAGGUAGGCGGAAUUCGUGGUGUAGCGGUGAAAUGCUUAGAUAUCACGAAGAACUCCGAUUGCGAAGGCAGCCUGCUGGACUGCAACUGACGCUGAUGCUCGAAAGUGUGGGUAUCAAACAGGAUUAGAUACCCCAGUAGUC
rnacentral:rRNA from 1 species